GUUGGCGCGAGGUGGGGCGCGACUGGCGGCUGCGCGGGGACAACCGCCCGGCUGGCGCGGAGCGGGGUGGUACGCCUGUGAGGUGUCCUCGACCUGCCCCAGCGGCUGCGGUCCCCCGCGAUGCCGAGGCCACAGGCGGGCAGCUCGCCUCUCUGAGCCGGUCUCAACGCCGAGGGCACAGAGGGAGGCAGGCCAUGGCGGAGUCCUCCGAGCCCGGGCGGCUGGCGUCGGCGGACGGCGGCGGGAGCCUGGAAGAGGAGGACGACGAGGAGCGGGAACCGCUGCUGCCUCGGAUCGCCUGGGCCCAGCCACCUAAGGGCGCCCCGGGGAGCGCCGUCAGGCUCGUGGAGGCUGCGGGCGAGGAGAGCGCGGCCUCCCCUCGCGAGGCUGGAGACAAGGAACUGCUGCUCCCGUCCUGGGACGCGCCCAGCGGGCCCUCCGGGAGCGUGAGUGGCCUCCGGAGCUCGCCCACCCGCCCGAAACGGAAACGCCCCCGAGGUGCAGCAUUGAAUACAUUCUUGGAUGAUCCUGAAUUUGCUGAUAUUGUGUUGAAAGCAGAGCAAGCAAUAGAAUUUGGAGUUUUUCCAGAAAGAAUCUCUCAAGGUUCAAGUGGAAGUUACUUUGUGAAGGAUCCUAAGAGGAAAAUUAUUGGUGUGUUUAAACCCAAAUCAGAAGAGCCUUAUGGCCAACUGAAUCCGAAAUGGACCAAAUAUGUUCAUAAGGUCUGCUGCCCUUGCUGCUUUGGUAGAGGCUGCCUGCUUCCUAAUCAGGGAUACCUUUCUGAAGCUGGAGCCUCCCUUGUGGAUGAAAAGCUUCAUCUGGGCAUUGUACCUAAAACAAAGGUGGUUUGGCUUGUCAGUGAGACAUUUAACUACAGUGCAAUUGACCGUGCAAAAUCUAGAGGCAAAAAGUAUGCUUUAGAGAAAGUGCCAAAAGUAGGUAGAAAAUUCCAUCGGAUAGGACUCCCUCCUAAGAUUGGUUCCUUUCAGUUAUUUGUUGAAGGUUACAAGGAGGCUGAAUAUUGGCUUAGGAAAUUUGAAGCUGACCCUUUGCCUGAGAAUAUUAGAAAAGAAUUUCAGUCACAAUUUGAAAGAUUAGUUAUUUUGGAUUACAUCAUCAGAAAUACAGACAGGGGAAAUGAUAAUUGGUUAAUCAAAUAUGAAAAGCAGAAACAGGGAAAGGAAAUUAAGGAAACGCAAUGGAUUGAUAAUAAAGAAUCACUUAUUAAAAUAGCUGCAAUUGAUAAUGGUCUGGCAUUUCCUUUUAAGCAUCCUGAUGAAUGGAGAACAUAUCCAUUUCACUGGGCUUGGCUUCCUCAAGCAAAAGUUCCUUUUUCUGAAGAAAUAAGAAACUUAAUUCUACCAUAUAUUUCUGACAUGAACUUUGUGCAAGAUUUAUGUGAAGAUCUUCAUGAACUUUUUAAGACUGACAGAAGAUUUAACAAAGCCACUUUUGAAAGUCAGAUGUCUGUGAUGAGGGGUCAGAUCUUAAAUCUUACCCAGGCACUGAAAGACGGGAAGAGUCCUGUGCAGCUGGUGCAGAUGCCGUGUGUGCUCGUGGAGCGCAGUCAGGGUGGAAGUCAGGGUCGGAUCGUCCAUCUGAGCAGUGCGUUCACCCAGACUGUCCACUGCAGGAAGCCAUUCUUUUCCUCCUGGUAGCAGAUGUAAGAGUAAAAGAAACAAACCGUUUGGCACAAUGUCGUUAAAACAAUACAGUAAUGCAAAUCUGCUGUUCAGAGCUCCCAUUGCCAAAACCUCAAAUAAUCCUCUGUUGCAGUUCGUCCAGGGCCAAUGACACGGGACGAGUGAUUGACGUGACUUCUGGAUCUGGCAGUAAAACUCACUGCCUUCACCUGCAGUGGCCAUGAUUGACCACCUCUUCUCUUCCUGUUGGCAUAUAUACAAAGAAUUCACGGAAUGCACGCGGCCGGGGCCUGUCGGCCACGGCUUAGGGAACCACCAGGAGAGCGUGCCGACUGACGUGAGCAAGAAACAAGUGCUUGUGUUGAGUCACGGAAGUCUGGAAUUUAUGUGUUGCUGUAGCAUAGUCUGCCCUAUUCUGGGCAUUAUAAUAGAAAAAUACAAAUCAUUUAAAAAUAAAAAAUCACUUUUAGGAGGCGCCAUGGUAGCAACAGCAGGUGGUUUUAUAAUCUCCCCAAACCCCCAGGUGCUAUGUUAUAGCAAAAGAAGAAAACACCGUGACACCAUCUUCACUAAAAUUAGGUGGUAAGUAACCCUGUGAAUCCCAGAAUUGAGCAGUUUGGGCUAAAACCAUCAAUAGCAGUAAGAUCACAGGGGAACAGAGGUUUUAGAGAAGUGAGCAGAAGCAAAGUAAGGGGACUAGUGGUGGGGAAACGGACAGGUCUGUUGAGCAUUCGGCUGGCAGCUGGGAAUAGGAGCCCGCAGAAAGGUACGAGAGUGCUAGGGCGACCUGGUCUGCAGAGUUCUCAGAAGUAGCCCCGGGGAGCACGUGGGCCUGGCCUGAGGGAAAUGAUGGGUGUGGAGCACACAUUGGCAAAGGAAGGACUGCGCGGGAACAGGUAAAGGAGAGAAGGUUCGGACACGGGUGGAAGAGGGGACCCAAGGAGACCGAAUAUGGAAAGUACUAACGCGAUACACAGAAAACCAUGUUCUCCAACCCUGCGUAGUAACUGCAGCAGAGAGAAGCCUCGAACCACAAAAUUAGGAAACUAUUCUGGCCCACCUCACCUCCUACACAGGAAUCUUCUAAAAAGACAGGGAAAUUCUUCUCACUUAAACACAACCCACAUCUUACACUGUGCUCUAAGAGAAGGAUAACGACCUGUAUAACAUACCCACAGAAAGCAAAGAUACCCAAAAACAUUUGCAAAGCAGAGGAAAUCUGUGAUCUAAUAUUUUUAAAAAUUAUGAAGAAAUUCAAGGAAUGAUAGAAGCUUAAGAAAGAAGGCUGUAACAUCAAUAUUGGAAAAGCUCAGAUUAGAUAGCAAGCAACAGGAGGAAAUAAAAUGAGAGCUGACAGGGCUCAGAGCAAAUAUGAGAGUUAAAAAUACACUUCAGAAAUAAACUGGAAGGAAUACAAGAGCAAACAGACAACAAAUCCACAAAAACCCUAUGGCAAACAUCAUACUGUUGGAAAGUCUCAAGGAUCUGUGUUAGUUUUCUAUUGCUGCUGUAAUAAAUGGCCAGAAACUUUAGUUUACAGAUUUAGUUACAGAUCCGUUAUGUUAAAAGUUCUGCAGGUUUGAAGUCUGAUGCAGGUUUCACGGGGCUAGAAUCACGGGGUGAGCAGGACCGCAUUCCUUUCUGGAGGCUCUAGGGCAGAGUCUGUUUUCCUACCAUUGCCGGUUUCUAGAGGCCUCACACAUUCCUUGACUUGAAGCCCUCUUCCAUCUACAAAGCCAGCGACAAGAGGUUGAAUGCUUUUCCCAUCACAUAGCUCUGACACUGACUUCUGCAUCCAUCCUGCAUUUUUAAGGACCCUUGUGAUUACAUUGGGUCCACCCAGAUGACCUAGGUUUUCUCCCUAUUUUUUUUUUAAUUUUUAUUUAUUUUUUGACAGAGACAGCGAGAGAGGCAACACAAGCAGGGGGAGUGGGAGAGGGAGAAGCAGGCUUCCCGCUGAGCAGGGAGCCCGAUGCGGGACUUGAACCCAGGACCCUGGGAUCAUGACCUGAGCCGAAGGCAGACGCUAAAUGGUUGAGCCACCCAGGUGCCCCGGUUUUCUCCCUAUUUUAAGGCCUGCUGAUACACAACCUUAAUUCCAUCAGCAACGUUAACCUCCCUUGGCCAUACAACAUGUUCACAAGUUCUGGAGAGCAGGACAUGGGCAUUUCGGGGGCGCUAUUAUUCUGCCUUCUGUACUUUCCCUCAGAGAUGGGUUACGUGGUAAGGAUGCCUGCUUUCGUUGCUCUUGCUCAAUAUUGUACUGGAGAGCCUAUAACCAGCGCAGUCAAGGCAGGAAAGAGGCAAAAGGCAGGAGGAUCAGAAAUUAAGAAAUGAAACAAGGAAACAGAUUUCCUUGAGUUGGGAUCCAAUCAAGUUUUACUCAUUGCAUUUGUUUGUUCCAUCUUCUAAUCUAGAACAGUUCUUUCACUUUCCCCACAACAGUAACUUUUGGAACAUCCUCCCUUCUGAAUUUGUGUAAUUAUUUCCUCUUACUGUUUAGCUUGAUCUUCUAUUCCCUACAUUUUCUAUAAACUGGAGGUGAGAUCUGAAAGCUUGACUCAGUUCAGGUUAAACAUUUUUGACAAGAAUAUUUCAUAGAUGACUCUGCACAUUUCAUACUGCAUUUACAUCAAGAGUUAGAUAAAAGAGAUCUCAUUUUUAUUGAAGAAUUCAUCAUGGUAGGGGAGGAAGUCCCAAAGGAGCCAGAGAGCUAUGGCGGUAGGAAUUCUGGUCACAAAUCAAAUCAUCUUGUCUGUGUAGAGGGUGGUUAGAUUCCCCCCGCCCAUUUCUUUGAAAACUUAAUUUUUGUCCCAUCUUCUUUAUCAAUGACUUUUUCUAAGUUAGCUCUCUUUUGAUAAAGAGAUGAUAAAGAUGAGUUGGUUUUCAUCAAGCAAAUGUACUAAUCUGUCACAAUAUCAAAAGAAUAUUGUCAUGAUUGAUAUUCAUUAAGCCUAAAAUCUCAAGAAUAAAAUUCAUAACUUACAACAAAGCUGUAUUUCACUUCUGUGAGCUUUCAUUCCUUGCUGUGAGCUAUUUUGCUAUUUACUCGGUGCUUUUCAUAGGAAGAUCCCUAAAUAUUAAGUGGGCUCAUGGACUGAACAGUGUAAGUACAUAACAAAAAUGAAUUUAUCUAAGCAAACUGCAUUAUUAAUCAGAAUCAUUUUAUUCAGUAAGUUUUUAGCCUGUUUCAAAAUCCAUGUAGAGAGUUUUUUGAGAAAGUAAAUCCUAACCUUUAGAGUUUUUAUUCUAACACCAAGUAAUGCAAUAGAUUUGACUUUUGUCAUUUCAAAAUACUGUAAACUUACUUAUGUUCUAAUGUUGCGUAUCUUCAAUAAAUGGAAAGUCUGCCACGAUUCUCUUUUGACUAAGAAUUUUAAAUUGGAAUAGACCUGUAUUUAAGUCCUGGUUCUGCCCCUUAUUAGCUCUGUGUCCUUGGACAGAACUUGCAAAUCUCCCAAACCAGCUUUCUCGCCACAUGUAAAAUACACAAGCUAAUGGUAACUUCAGAGGUUUGUAACAAGGACAUUUAAGACACAUUUUGUGAAAAGUGUGAAAAAUUCUGGUAGUUAGCGGCGCCUGGGUGGCUC